AAGGGUAGCAUGUCUGCCAACUACUGGUAGGGGGGAUGAACACCAUUAAGACCGCUGGUUUGAUCUACAUGCGCUUUUGUUCAUGAUGACGUACUGUCCUUUCGGCUUCCAUCAUCUCACCUGGAUCAAUGUGAUGACAAACUUUACAAGUAAUGAACAUUGUGUACAAGCAUCAAAACCAUGAUUGUUGUAAUCACUGCUGCCAACCUCUAAUCUACUUGUUACAGAGGUACUCUAACCAGAGAUACAACACUGACGAAUGUCUCCAUAGGAAUAAACGGUGUGAAAUCGUAACGCCAAAACGUCGAAUGCCUGCUUAUCUCCCGCCUACUUGGCAACAAGAGCCAAUCGGUUGCUGAGCUGCGCCGGCAUUGAUCCAAUCAUCUCGACGCCUCGACGCAAGUGCAAACAUAAACCUUUACGACUGCUCGUACCUAAUCGGUUUGUUUGCUGGUGGCCAUGUGGUUUGUUUGCCGUCCGUGGAAACUUCAGCCAGAGAGACAGCUGUUUUGAAAAUCUUCUCAUGGACGAAGAGCAGUGGCUCCAGGUUGCUUGAUGUGCCUACAUGCUCCUCUGGAUCCUCCUUGGUGUCCAUAGUCUUUGGAAGUGAUCAAGAUUCCAC